CCCUUCACUACGGAAUAGCCUCUGGAAACGGAGAGUAAUACCGUAUGCGCCCUUCGGGGAAAGAUUUAUCGGUGAAGGAUUAGCCCGCGUCUGAUUAGAUAGUUGGUGGGGUAACGGCCUACCAAGUCGACGAUCAGUAGCUGGUUUGAGAGGAUGAUCAGCAACACUGGGACUGAGACACGGCCCAGACUCCUACGGGAGGCAGCAGUGGGGAAUCUUAGACAAUGGGCGCAAGUGAUCUAGCCAUGCCGCGUGAGUGACGAAGGCCUUAGGGUCGUAAAGCUCUUUCGCCAGGGAUGAUAAUGACAGUACCUGGUAAAGAAACCCCGGCUAACUCCGUGCCAGCAGCCGCGGUAAUACGGAGGGGGUUAGCGUUGUUCGGAAUUACUGGGCGUAAAGCGCGCGUAGGGGAUUGGAAAGUUGGGGGUGAAAUCCCGGGGCUCAACCCCGAACUGCCUCCAAAACUAUCAGUCUAGAGUUCGAGAGAGGUGAGUGGAAUUCCAAGUGUAGAGGUGAAAUUCGUAGAUAUUUGGAGGAACACCAGUGGCGAAGCGGCUCACUGGCUCGAUACUGACGCUGAGGUGCGAAAGUGUGG
rnacentral:rRNA from 1 species